rnacentral:rRNA from 1 species
AACAGAUAAGGAGCUUGCUCCUUUGACGUUAGCGGCGGACGGGUGAGUAACACGUGGGUAACCUACCUAUAAGACUGGAAUAACUCCGGGAAACCGGGGCUAAUGCCGGAUAACAUAUAGAACCGCAUGGUUCUAUAGUGAAAGAUGGUUUUGCUAUCACUUAUAGAUGGACCCGCGCCGUAUUAGCUAGUUGGUAAGGUAACAGGCUUACCAAGGCGACGAUACGUAGCCGACCUGAGAGGGUGAUCGGCCACACUGGAACUGAGACACGGUCCAGACUCCUACGGGAGGCAGCAGUAGGGAAUCUUCCGCAAUGGGCGAAAGCCUGACGGAGCAACGCCGCGUGAGUGAUGAAGGGUAUCGGCUCGUAAAACUCUGUUAUUAGGGAAGAACAUAUGUGUAAGUAACUGUGCACAUCUUGACGGUACCUAAUCAGAAAGCCACGGCUAACUACGUGCCAGCAGCCGCGGUAAUACGUAGGUGGCAAGCGUUAUCCGGAAUUAUUGGGCGUAAAGCGCGCGUAGGCGGUUUCUUAAGUCUGAUGUGAAAGCCCACGGCUCAACCGUGGAGGGUCAUUGGAAACUGGGAAACUUGAGUGCAGAAGAGGAAAGUGGAAUUCCAUGUGUAGCGGUGAAAUGCGCAGAGAUAUGGAGGAACACCAGUGGCGAAGGCGACUUUCUGGUCUGUAACUGACGCUGAUGUGCGAAAGCGUGGGGAUCAAACAGGAUUAGAUACCCUGGUAGUCCACGCCGUAAACGAUGAGUGCUAAGUGUUAGGGGGUUUCCGCCCCUUAGUGCUGCAGCUAACGCAUUAAGCACUCCGCCUGGGGAGUACGACCGCAAGGUUGAAACUCAAAGGAUUGACGGGGACCCGCACAAGCGGUGGAGCAUGUGGUUUAAUUCGAAGCAACGCGAAGAACCUUACCAAAUCUUGACAUCCUUUGACCACUCUAGAGAUAGAGCUUUCCCCUUCGGGGGACAAAGUGACAGGUGGUGCAUGGUUGUCGUCAGCUCGUGUCGUGAGAUGUUGGGUUAAGUCCCGCAACGAGCGCAACCCUUAAGCUUA